UUCCUCUGCUAAUCCUCCCGCAGCGCCCGCCAGCCCUAGCCUUGUUUGCCUACCCGCCUCGCCUUUCCUUUCCAUGGUCCUGAAGUUGCCGCGCUCCCAUGCCGGAAAUCCCCUUCUCGUCUAGAUCUUUGAUCAAACUACUUUCCUUUUUCCAUGCUGAUCUCGUCUAGAUCUAUAUUGUUCCGAUCGAGGAGACGGGGAACGGUGAAUCUCUCUCUCUUGGUAUAUAUAUGUUCGAAACACAUGGAUUUGUUUUGUGAUGUGCAGUUUCCAUCUAAUUAAUUGAUGAGCGCGUGCGCCGACUCGGAUCGAGAUGAGGCUGCGUCCAUAUGGGCACGGUGGCGUCUGAACCUCGUGUUUGGGCGCGUCGGUUCUGAUGUUGAGCUGGGACGUUUCGGAUAGGUUGGAUGUUCUCGGCGGAUUCGGAGGCAUCGAAACGUCGCUGCGGCGUGGUCGGAUCCUGGAUCUGCUCCAACUCGCGUGAUGAUGUCUCUUUGUAUUGAUAAUUAUUGGAUGAAACUUCGAUAAUUAUUAGAUCCGAGAGAUGUUGCUCGGAGCGAUCCGUGCCCAACUGAAGCCGAGGUAAGCUACACACAUGUAACCUCCGAGUUGCUCGCGUGUGGAGUGGGAAGGAGGGAAAAAAGAUGUGAAAAGAAGAGAAAAGAUGUGAAAAAAAGAGAGAUGUGACAUCUUGAAGGCCUUUGCCAUGAUGGGUGCGCUCGCAUGGCAGGCCACCGUAAUAAAGAUUUUGAUUUUGUGCCUUGGGUGGGAGAUCGCACGGGGGAGCUUUUAUUUCAAUCCCCCCGGGUUCUCCCUCCCUUUUGUGUCCCUGUGCCCUGCUUCCUAUUGUUGGCGCACGUCUUUCCGAUACACCUCUUGGCAUGCUACAAAUUGGCAAGGAGCUACAGCGCAACACGCAAGGUACACUUGGUAAUUCGAAAUUUACAGUCUGAAGUAAUUUUAGUACAGAACUAAAUUUAUUGUCGUCCAUAACUCCUACAAUUGGUAAUUCGAAAUUUACAGGCUGAAAUUGCAAUUUAUAGUACAGACUAGCUAAAUAUUUUUAUUGUCGUCCAUAACUCCGCGCAAAGUCAUGCUUGCUAAUUUUAACCCGUGCAUAGUUAUGCUACCAUCCAUGCGUAAAGUUGCACCGCACUAUGCUUGGCCAUGCGCAGGAAGGUGUAUAACGUUUCCAAUUGCUUACAGUAUAACGUUUCCAAUUGCUUACAGUAUAACGUUUCCAAUUGCUUACAAUAUAACGUUUCCCAUAUAAAAGCUUUUGCGAUGGAUAUUUUCUGUAGUUGGUGUACAUUUAGAUAUCACACACUCUUGUGAGAAUGAAGUAAAUGAAAUGGUCAGCUUUGCAUCCCUUUAGAUUGCAGAAGAACAGCCCGAACUCACGACUGUUCAAAUGUACAUCUGAUGAAAUUUCUAGCAAUUUCGACUUCGCACCCCAUGAAAAUAAACUAUGAAAACCGUGCUGAUUUGUUCAAUUUCCAACUGCUGAUCCACAGAUUUAUCUUCUUUGUUUCAACUGUUAUGCUUUUAUUAUCAAUCGUUAUCUGCUACAUGUUUGAUAUUACAAGUUAAUUAUCUGGUAUUUUGUUCUAGUGGUUAUUUUCCAAAUUAAGAUGUAUUUAUUAUUAUUUUAUCUGAGAACGACCAAAUGUUGCAAGGUACUGAGGUAGCUGUACUGUUUCCUCAUGUAUCCUUUCUUACACAGGUUGCCUCAUGGCAACUAUUAGUUCUUUGUAAUCAGCCUGUGUAAGUGCGGAUUGUCUCACUUGUAUGCUGUAUGAAGAUCUAGUCUCAACCUACAUGGUGGUAUUGAAUUGAACAAGGAUGUGGGGAAGGUCUUGAGCUCUGCGCCUGUUAUUGCUGAAGCUUCUCCUGUGCUGAAGGUUCCUGCUGUUCUUGCUCCCGGAAUUUGGCAGUUCACGCAUGCUGUUUGAUGGCGAUCACCAUGAUGAUGGGUAAUAUGUAGUUUGUCCUCGGUUCAUUGCUGAAGAUUACUGUUUUCCCACGGAGGAUGCCGUUUACAUGUGUAGUUUCUCCUGAAGGUUGCUGCUGUUCUUCUCCCAGCAUUCUGCAGUUAAAACAUGCUGGUUGAGCGCGAGAUACACUUCAUUGCCGUGGCAGGCUCAUUGGCUGCAUGGCAGGCUUCAACAUGGCUAUGUUAACUCAAGUCUAGCGGUUGAGACCCAAUAUUAAGUUAAUUUCAUUGUUAGUAUGGCUUUACCUUAUUUGGAUACUUAAUUAUGAGGUGGUUGAGCUGUAACAACUGUUAUCUGGAGACUAUUCUGUUAUCUAUGGUUCGGAUAAGUUGCCAGCUUCGUGUCGGCUGCAAAUAUUGGAGCUGUCUGCAAAUUAUGGAGGCUGGAUACAAAUUAUGGAGCAGAACGACGCUUUAUGAAGCUCACCAAAUGUACGAAGUCGUUUAUGGCGAAGCUAUAGUUUCAAAACCUAAGCUCUUAACUUCGUACUCGUUGAGGCCAUGGGGGCAAUCGAUCUGUCCACGUUGCUAGGUUGGAGAAACCCAUAUCUUAUUGAGUAAUUAAUCUUUCUAAAGUGCACCAAAAAUUAAGCA